CUGCCCUCAAGCCCGGCUUGUGUGUUGGGUGUGGUCCCCCCGGGGACCUGCCCGAAAGGCAGCGGCGACGUCCGUCUGGUCCUCGAGCGUAUGGGGCUCUGUCACUCGCUCGGGAAGGACCUGCGGGGGUUGGUCACCACUAAAUUGUUUCCAU
rnacentral:misc_RNA from 1 species